rnacentral:rRNA from 1 species
CUACGUGCCAGCAGCCGCGGUAAUGCGGAAGGUCCGGGCGUUAUCCGGAUUUAUUGGGUUUAAAGGGAGCGUAGGCUGGAGAUUAAGUGUGUUGUGAAAUGUAGACGCUCAACGUCUGACUUGCAGCGCAUACUGGUUUCCUUGAGUACGCACAACGUUGGCGGAAUUCGUCGUGUAGCGGUGAAAUGCUUAGAUAUGACGAAGAACUCCGAUUGCGAAGGCAGCUGACGGGAGCGCAACUGACGCUGAAGCUCGAAGGUGCGGGUAUCGAACAGGAUUAGAUACCCUGGUAGUCCGCACAGUAAACGAUGGAUGCCCGCUGUUGGUACGUGGUAUCAGCGGCUAAGCGAAAGCAUUAAGCAUCCCACCUGGGGAGUACGCCGGCAACGGUGAAACUCAAAGGAAUUGACGGGGGCCCGCACAAGCGGAGGAACAUGUGGUUUAAUUCGAUGAUACGCGAGGAACCUUACCCGGGCU